rnacentral:rRNA from 1 species
UACGAAGGGGGCUAGCGUUGUUCGGAAUUACUGGGCGUAAAGCGCACGUAGGCGGUUUGUUAAGUUAGGGGUGAAAUCCCAGGGCUCAACCCUGGAACUGCCUUUAAUACUGGCAAUCUCGAGUCCGAGAGAGGUGAGUGGAAUUCCGAGUGUAGAGGUGAAAUUCGUAGAUAUUCGGAGGAACACCAGUGGCGAAGGCGGCUCACUGGCUCGGUACUGACGCUGAGGUGCGAAAGCGUGGGGAGCAAACAGG